CGCUGUUGUACACUUGAAUAAUCUCAUGCGGAUCGCGACAUGAUGAUAUACUUCUGAACUUCUCAUGAGGGAUUUCUGUGAUUAGGUUAUUACGAGCGUAUAAGUCUUUGUACUUUGUCACGUUGCGUGCAGUGAUAUGUGUUGGUUCAUGGCAGAUCUAUGUUAAAUCAACUUCAGGCCGUUCAGUGAUAAGUGUUGGUUCAUGACAGAUCUAUGUUACAUCAACUUCAGGCCGAAUAUUGACAUAGCUUAUUGCGAUGACCUGCCCAAAGUUGAAACGAAGCAACAGCAUGAUUAUUCGACCUCUCUUCCACACGCUGAAAGAGAAUAUUUUAAGGCACAGAUCAGGAGAGAAGAAUGGUCGUGAAGCUCCUCUCCCAGCAGCUGCCUUUAAGAGAGAGAAGAUGAAGUUGGUUGCUCAGGACAUGAGGAUGUGAACGAGAUGGAUUCGACCUCUCAAGGUUUGGAAGUCGCCUGGAUGGUCUCAGUCAACCAAUAUGGAAAAAGGCUCAUGGACAUUGCGGAUCGUAUCCCUUAAAGGCAUUCAUAUGCGCUGUAGCCUACCCAUCUAUGGAGAACCAUCUUUGCAACUUCAUUCUCCCUGGACUGCUUUGAAAUGUUUGACAUGCGCAGCCUAUUUCAGUGAAUGGGUGACUUUCACAAAAUGGACACUGUCUGCCACCUGUUUUUAAUUGUAUUGUAUAUGUAGCCUACAGUCAAUUAUAUGCUGUGUAACUCAUGUAUGGAAAGUGUGUGUGUGUGUGUUUGCGCUAAAGUAGCCUAUCUUUGGUCAAUUCAGGUGUUUCAGAGUUCAACUAGAUUCAUCAAAAUACCCUAUACAGCCUCAUUCACUCCCACACUCAAAAUGAAAUAGCAAAAAUGUGACUGUGUUCCUUCAGCGCCACAUUUUCUUUUGUUAAUAUGUUUGAUCUGAAACCAAAUAAAGCAUACACCAAGAGUA